CUUGUGAAAAUAGACCAAGAUCUGCCUGCGCUUCCUAGACCUCUCUUUCUGCACAGGGGAAGGAUGGAGAUGGAAGCCAUCAGGUCUCUGGUGACCUCCUUGCCCAGGGAAGGAGUUGCUUCAGCUGCUCCAGGUGGGCUGGAAUGGACCUCCCUGGCAAAAUCAGGGGUGCCAAUUGAUCAACUUCCCCUUUUCCCCUCCCCUUCUUGGCAAGAGCAGGAAGCUGCAGAGCUGGUUCGCUCCUUCCUGCCACCCGGCUGCCAAGGCACCAGAGCCCCCCGGCCAGCCUGGCUCCACAUUUACUCUGAGCAGGAUGGCUCUUCCUUUGGGGGGCUCUUUGUUCCCCUUCUUCUUUUCUCUCUCCUUCAUCCUCCUCCCCAAGACGUGACUACAAUCAGCUGCUAACGGAAGAUCUCCGCAUUCUGGUUUAUUCCCUGCCAAUUUCUCAAAGAGCUGGUACUGCAGGCGGCUCCGGUGGCAACCAAGGCUGGAUCGCAAAGGAGGGAAAUGGACCGGUGCCAUCAGCCGAGCGGCUUGUCUGCCAGGAUGCCAGAAGGCAGCGAGGGGCCAAAAGGAGCAUAUGAAGCUGAGAAGCUGGCAGCCCACUGCGAAGCAGGUGGCAGCUGAGUUGGCAGAGGUGCCAUGGAGGAUGGGCUGGCGAGACGCAGCAGCCCCGCAAAAGAGAGGAAAAAGAGAGCGAAAGAACGAACAAGAGGAUGAGGCAGGGAGGCUGGAAAGGCAGGGCAGGUACCCAGCGUCGUUGGGAAGCCGGAGGAGCAGCCAAAGGAAGGCCUGAGAGACCCCUUCCCUGCCUGGCGAAGGGAAGCGUGAAUUUGCCCUUUAAUCCAGCAUUGCUCUGCCUCCAGAGAUGGUCCCUGCUGGGAGCUGGGAAGCUCCUUCUCCAGCAAUGCUUGGGGUGCAGCUGAGGUUGGGUGCUGGCAUCUCUAAAGGCAACAUGGAGCCCAAAACCCCAGAGAGGAAUCUUUGGAUAUUGUCAAAGCAAAUGCAUCCUGCUAAAUUUCGGCUGCUCCACCGAAGAGCUUCCUUGGCUCAACUCCUCUUCUGAACUGGGAUCUGAUCCAGUGGCAGAAAGGCCAAAAGAUGAAAACUCUCAUCAAAAGAUGCAACAAUUUGCUUAAAAAAUAUGAUGCUGAUUGUUUCAAGGAACAAUAACAUCAAACGUCAACAAUGUAAACAACAUUGGCCAAAUUCCUGCAGCUGAGCCGGUUUUCAGACUCUAGGGCUGGCUGCUUUAAUGUAAAAUAAUAGAAAAGUCCCUUUGGCAAGAAUGUUGAUAGAUGAAGAUUUUGUUUCUGGGUGCUCUGCCUCCCUCCAUGCACUGCAAAGCCCCACAGCUGGAUAACGGGAGUUGAGUGCAGCCCAUCUGGAGGGCGCUGGGUUGAAGAUAGCUGGUUGAGGAGGACAUCAAAGCCUUGAACUGAAGAAGGGGGUACAGAUGCAAGAAAAUUGGGAAAAGGUUGCUUUUCCUGAGACCAGAGACUGUUCAGAAACGUGACGCUGCUGAAGGGACUCCUUGGGCAGUUCAGCUCUUCUAAGAAUUAGCCUUUCCAAGUCUUCUCUCAUCAUGCCAAAUUGGCUUCACCCCAUCGGUCUGAGAUAUUGUGGAGAGACAAUGGUGCACCAAAUCCUUGUUUUGGGAGAUUGAGAAUCGUCUUUUCUUUUCCUUUUUAAUCCAAGCCACAAAUUGGACAAUGAGAUCAAUGCAUUUAGCUGGAGGGUUAGAACGGUCCAAAUGCUGUUUUUAGGGCCAGGAUGCGGCGUAUCCCGGAGAGUUCAUAAGAAGAUAAACAAGAUUUUGGCCCUGAGGGACGAUUCUCCAAAGUCAACGCCUCACAGCUCACAGCUGUUUUGUGGGGGAGAUCCAACGGAGGCCACACCAGGCCACGGACAACGUGGAGGAGGAAAGGUGCAAAAUGCUCAAGGCCAGACUGCAGGGAAGGAGAAGCACUUUUGGGGUUCCUCAGAACCGGGGCCCUCAAGGCUGCAACCCCCAGGAUUCCGAAGGCAUAUCAAUCGGCCACCCACUGAGGGCAGAAGGCGCUGCUACAGAGAUGUGGGUUAAUGUGUCUCUUCCUCCUUUGCUCCUUUCACCCAGUUUCACCCAGAAGGUCUUGUCCACUCUUGGGAAGUCCUCGAGCUUCUCUCUUCGUCACCCGAGAUGGCUGAGGAUUUAGGGAGUGAUUUGCUCUCUCCACUCAGAUAAAAGGCCCAGCAAGAAUCUUCUGAAUAUGGUGCCACAAUGGUCUACACUUUCCCAUCCAUGAAACCGACAACUGCUUACUACAAGGGAGAUACUGAGAGAGAUUCUGCAACUUUUGGGGUGCGACCCACACGAUCAGGAGACACUUCAAAUGAUCUGGCCCUUGGAUUUCAUAAGGGAUUUCCCUUUCAUAAGAGGAAACUCAGAGAAUGUGACUUUAGAGUUCCAAUGCAAUACUGCUUCUACUGCAAACAAGGCCUAAUGGGACCUGAUCCUGGAAGUCACGUGAUAUUGUUUGAGGUUAAUUCCCAUGCAUAAAAUACAGUUCUUGGUGGCCAGCAUAUCUGCUGCCAAAGACAGGGUCAGCCUUGUUUGAAUAAGAGCAGGGCAGAGCGAAAAGAGGUUGGCAAAGUCAGGGACCAUCGUAACUGAGUUAUAGCCCAGGCCUUUUCUGAAUCUUUCCCUUUUAAUAUCAUGGACAUUAACAUUUGGAUUACCAGAUGCUUCUCCAUUGAACCAGAGCUUUGGUUUUCUUGGAGUUUUGGAAUGUUAGGAGAAUGCAAACAUCAUGCAGCAAAUAAUCAUUUUAACAGAACUGCAAAGGACCAGAAAUUGUUUGCAUCACAGACAUUGUGGUUAACUUCUCAAAGGAGUAUAUUUUACACUCACAGGUCAGCUGUGGCCAUCAAAGCAUGUAUUAGAACGAUGACCUGCAGCUAUCCUCUAGGACCUAGAUGGACAUAAUGGAUAAUUUAACAGCUGCUAAAGUUAGAAAUAAAAGACAAGAGAAAUGCGUUUUGCAGAUGGACCUGUUGAUGUCCAAUGAAUAUUUUAAUUAAUAGGUCAGUCUACCAAGUACAUUUCUCUUGUCUUUUGUUUCACCCAAGUGAUUUUUUCUAAGACAAAGUUCUGGGGCAUUAAAUAAACCAUACUAAUAUGGAAUAGAGAAUCUGAGCCAUGUUAUUUCAUGGACUGGAGAGACGUAAUUUUUUGCCACCACUUGCUUCUUAUCUCUCACUCACCUCUUUUUGUUCUGGUGUGAAGUCACUUUUGAAGAACAAAAGUGUCCUUCAGACCCAUGGAAACAAGCAUUGGCAUUUCAGGACGAUCAUCUGUUGAUGGUUUUGCUACACCAGGACACCCAGAUGCUUUCAGACUUUCUUCUGAUAGUUUCUAGAUACUGUUACAUGAGAACUGGCGUUCGUGAAAAGAAAUGGAUGUCAUUUGUGCCAGGUUAAUAACACUGAAGAACACUGAACAUAGAAUAAUAGAGUUGGGAGGGACCUUGGAGGUCUUCUAGUCCAACCCCCUGCUCAAGUAGGAGACCGUAUAUCAUUUUAGAUAAAUGGUUGUCCAGUCUCUUCUUAAAAGCCUCCAGUGAUGGAACACCCAUGGCUUCUGUUCCAUUGGUUGAUUGCUCUCACCGUUAAAAAAAAUUAUCCUUAGUUCUAGAUUGCUAGAAUGCCAAGAAAAAGCCAACCCAACAAUUCCAACUUGAUGCCGUUUAGCUAUUGGGAUAUACUAUUCCAUCAUCUCCAGCCAAAAAGGACAAAAGCGUGUUUGAACCUGGCACGGCAAUAAAUAUGCUGAAAUAAACUCACUAAAAUCCCCGCCAUGUCCUGAGAUGGCUGCUCUGACAGAACUCCCCCCACCCAAAGUAAGCUAACAGUCAUUCUAUGUAGGGGUGCCGGAGCAUCUAAGUGUGCAAAGGGUAAUGUACUGCAUUUCUAUGGCUUCCUGGAGCUACCAUGAGCCUGACGUGAGCAUCUGUGCAGGCUAAGGCAUGCUCCUCUUGGCUGGUUAUAUGUGCUGGGGGCUGUAAGAAAGGUUCCAGAUGCAGAGGGAACGCCAUGCUUGAAUUUAAAUUUCAUCGACUCACAAUCAGUUUUAGCCCACUCUUAGUGCCACAUUAACGAAGCCUGCUCCCUCCUCCUUUGAGUGCAUAAUUAGCCCAAGCCUUCUACCUCGCUAAUUUUAAAGCAGAGAAGAGAGUGGAAGCAGGAGGGGGAAUGGGCUUUGGAAUUUGCAUAUUAAUUUAGCAGAGGGAGGAAAAAAAAUUGUUUACCACUCACUUCUUGGUGUUGAUCACAGAGGACUUAACUCUUUCACUGGUGCCAUCUGGAGCUGUGGUGCUGAGUAUUGCUUGCAAAGUGCCUGUGAAUUCUGAGAUCUCAGAAUAUUUCAGAAAAAGGCCAGCCAGGAACUAACGGAAGGAAAUGAAAAACAACUCCAAAAUGGCAUGGAUCUCACAAUUGCUUUGGCAAUAUUGCAGAAUGGAAACUCAGGAAUCUCAGGACGGGGGCCCUGGAGCCCCUGAUUUCGGCCCUUCCUUUGCUGGCAUCCAUGCAUCUUGGAGGGGACCCAUCCCGAGUGCCCAGGGUCUGCAGGAUUUCAGCCUGCCGAGAAAGCGAAGGGGAGGGGAGAGAACAGCCCUCUCAGGGCAGGGAAUCCAGGUCAGGAAGAGUUAAUACUGCAAACAAAGGCAUUUGUUCUUGGUUCUCUAAAAAAAAAAAAAAAGAGCUCAUCCCUUCAGAAUGCCGAAAGAAGACCAAUAAAAGGGAGAAGAGAAGAUGGAGAUCAGAACAGCAUUCCACAUCUUUUAACACUGCAUUUAUUUGGGGGAAGAUGCUAUGGCUUUAUGUAAAUCCACCUUAGGCA